rnacentral:lncRNA from 1 species
AAAACAUCAUUUUUGAAGAUACAACCCAACCCACAAGAUGUCAAAAAUUGACCAAAACAUUUAUAAAAAAGAGUUGUGCAGUUUUUUUUCUUCAAUAAGUUUAUUGACCGAAAAUGAGCAUAAGUUAUGCUCAAACAAAUUACAAAGUUAUCGUAAUUUGAUAUAUUUUACAGGAUUUCUCCAUCAAUUAUAAAAAUAUAAUAUUGAUCUAUUCUUCAAACUUAGAACAAUUCAAUUCUAAGAAAUUAGUUUAAUAUGGUAACUAGUUUCUUUUACAUUCCUAUCCAUGUUAUUAAAAUUAAUGUUAUUUCUUCGUAACCAUAAACAUCAAUAAGUCGCCAAUCAAAUUGGCAUCUUCUUGCUCCUUACUACUUUAGCUCUCAUAAGAGAAUAUAAUUGUUCUGCAUAAUUCAAGAUUGAGGCUUCAUUUAUAUGCUUCAAUUCCAACCACUUCCUUAUGGAAUCCCACACCCUUGAUGCAAAAGGACAAGAAAUUAAAAGAUGAUAAAGAUCUUCCUGUAAAGUCAAGCAAUAAACACAAAUAAGAUCUAUUAAAGAAUGAA